rnacentral:lncRNA from 1 species
CUUGUCUUAGCAGUACAGGGAAUUAGUGUUCUGGGGUUUAAGCAUGUGAAAACAAGGUGCUGCUUCCCUUCUCCCAUCAACUGCAUCUGUGGACAAGACUUCAAUUUCCUCUACAAGGAGUGCUAGGAAUAGCUUUGUAAUGUAAAUAGGCACUUACGUAUUUUGAACAAGCACCUGCUUCAUCACACUUCCUAAUGAGAGCCUGGACAGAAACGCAGCAAAAGCAAAGGAAGGUGAGCUGAGAAUGAUGUUUUUCCCCAUUAAAAUGCCUCAUUUGGUUCACCCAGGACUGCGAUCCUUUAGCAUUCAAGACAGCCAUCACUGCAGGCAGCAGUACCUAUUUGCAGCAUUAACACCGGGUGUCACUCUCUGAAUGGUGAAACUACUCUUCUGCAUCUAACCUACUACCAAGCCUCCCCGAGCCACUCGUGCU